rfam:Camelus ferus unplaced genomic scaffold scaffold724, whole genome shotgun sequence.
GGAGGUAUAGCUCAGUGAUAGAGCACGUGCUUAGCAUACACGAGGUCUUGGGUUCAAUCCCCAGUACCUGCA